GCAUAUCAAUAAGCGGAGGAAAAGAAACUAACAAGGAUUCCCCUAGUAACUGCGAGUGAAGCGGGAAAAGCUCAAAUUUAAAAUCUGGCAGUCUUUGAUUGUCCGAGUUGUAAUCUAGAGAAGCAUUAUCCGCGCUGGACCGUGUACAAGUCUCCUGGAAUGGAGCGUCAUAGAGGGUGAGAAUCCCGUCUUUGACACGGACUGCCAGGGCUUUGUGAUGUGCUCUCAAAGAGUCGAGUUGUUUGGGAAUGCAGCUCAAAAUGGGUGGUAAAUUCCAUCUAAAGCUAAAUAUUGGCGAGAGACCGAUAGCGAACAAGUACCGUGAGGGAAAGAUGAAAAGAACUUUGGAAAGAGAGUUAAACAGUACGUGAAAUUGCUGAAAGGGAAACGCUUGAAGUCAGUCGCGUUGGCCGGGAAUCAACCUUGCUUUUGCUGGGCGUACUUCCUGGUUAACGGGUCAGCAUCAAUUUUGACCGUUGGAUAAAGUUGUUGGGAAUGUGGCAUCUUCGGAUGUGUUAUAGCCCAGUUUCGUAUACAACGGUUGGGAUUGAGGAACUCAGCACGCCGCAAGGCCGGGUUUUUAACCACGUUCGUGCUUAGGAUGCUGGCAUAAUGGCUUUAAUCGACCCGUCUUGAAACACGGACCAAGGAGUCUAACAUGCCUGCGAGUGUUUGGGUGGAAAACCCGAGCGCGUAAUGAAAGUGAAAGUUGAGAUCCCUGUCGUGGGGAGCAUCGACGCCCGGACUUGAACUUUUGUGACGGAUCCGCGGUAGAGCAUGUAUGUUGGGACCCGAAAGAUGGUGAACUAUGCCUGAAUAGGGUGAAGCCAGAGGAAACUCUGGUGGAGGCUCGUAGCGAUUCUGACGUGCAAAUCGAUCGUCAAAUUUGGGUAUAGGGGCGAAAGACUAAUCGAACCAUCUAGUAGCUGGUUCCUGCCGA
rnacentral:rRNA from 1 species